rnacentral:lncRNA from 1 species
UUUAUAGUGGCAAAACACUUUUAAGCACCUCUACAAACUUUGGGGUUCAGUUUGAGGCUGGUCUUUUAAUACGCACAUCCAAAGCAAAAAGUAAAAUGAAUUAAAGCCGAGUGUAGGGUAUGGUCAAAUCUCUAGCCUGCAAAAGCCUCCUUGAAUCCUUGAUUCUAUUAUCCAAGCUGCUUUUUCACCCGCAGGUGUGCCCUCUAAACUCUGCGGCCUUCCUAAGGGUUUGGGUACAGCCUAGCUGGGGAACUGACUCAUCAGCAUUCUAGCACUCUUUUAGCAAAGCGUAGGCGCCCAACAGUGAAUGAAUGAAUGAAUGAAUGUGUAGAAAGAAGGCGGGAAAGGGGUUCGCUUUUCGGAGAUGUGACAGACUAGCUGUCUAGGACUACCACAAAGCAACAACAACCAAACCUUUUUGGACCGAUGCCUACCUCCACCAAGGCUCUCAGAGCAAGCCCAGCCCUGCAGACUACGCCCCGCCCACCGGAGAGAGUUAGCAAUUACUAGCUGUCGGGAAAACCGGAAGUGCUGGUAAUUCCUCGCGCAUGCGUGUCCGCCUCGGCUCACACUUCCUACACUUGGUCAUCCAGUGAGGAAGCUGGGCCGCUCACCCGACGCAGCGGGGUCUUCGCCCGUCCCGCCCCUCACUCCACUGCGCAUGCGCUCUGGUUGGCCUGUCCGUCUUGAGGCGGGGCGCCAGGGCAGUUUUUUUUUCUUUGCUCCCGCCCCUGCGCUUCCCACCUGCCACGUACGGGACCGCGGCUCUUGCUAGGCUCGUUGGGUGUGUGCGAUUGGCCAGGUCCGCGCAGCCUGCAGCUCGGCGACGAUCGGCGGAGGGCGGCCGGGUGGACGGUGUCGGUAGCCUCCCUGCGACACUGCGGAGCCCGCGGCGGCCUCGUAGCGACCCGGUCAGCUGAGGCGGCGGCCUGGGCAAGCCGUUUUUCCCCUAGAGUUAUAUAUAUAGAGCAUCCUGGAGUCCACAAUGAACGGACAGUUGGACCUAAGUGGGAAGCUGAUUAUCAAAGCUCAACUUGGAGAAGAUAUCCGGCGAAUUCCCAUUCAUAAUGAAGACAUUACUUAUGAUGAAUUAGUGCUGAUGAUGCAGCGAGUAUUCAGAGGAAAGCUUCUGAGUAAUGAUGAAGUUACAAUAAAGUAUAAGGAUGAGGAUGGAGAUCUUAUAACAAUUUUUGAUAGUUCUGACCUUUCCUUUGCAAUUCAGUGUAGUAGAAUACUGAAACUGACAUUAUUUGUUAAUGGCCAGCCAAGACCCCUUGAAUCAAGUCAGGUGAAAUAUCUUCGUCGAGAACUGAUAGAACUUCGGAAUAAAGUGAAUCGCUUAUUGGACAGCUUAGAGCCGCCUGGAGAACCAGGGCCUUCCACCAGUAUUCCUGAAAAUGGUAAACUGAAUUUAUUUUAUUUUAUUCUAAUAUAUUCUUUUAUCAUUUUUGUGAAAAGGGGAUUAUUUGAUUAUUUCAUAGGAGUAAGACAGCAUCCUUAUUAGCUUUAUUAUCCUUGCUUCUGCUUUUGUACAUGUCAGCAUUCCCACAACUACUUGUCAGGAUUACUGUAAACUUGCAUUACAGUACUUGGAUUGAGUCAUAAGAGGACAGGGCCUGGAAUUCCAUUUUUAAAGUACUCUCUGGGACUGGGGAAGUAACUCUGUGGUAGACUGCUUUCUUGACAUAUGCAGUGCUCAGUAUUCAGUCCCCAGUACUGACUAAUAAUAAAUAAAUGUGCACGUGAGUGCAUAAGGAAUACUUUUGUGGUGAUUUCUUUAUCUCAGUUUCUUUGUCUCAGUUUCCAGAGUUCAUAGAGUAGGCCUGUUUUCAAACACUUUUCAUUCAUGAAUUGUUAUUAGUGUG